GGCGAACGCUGGCGGCGUGCUUAACACAUGCAAGUCGAACGGAAAGGCCCUGCUUUUGUGGGGUGCUCGAGUGGCGAACGGGUGAGUAACACGUGAGUAGCCUGCCCUUGACUUUGGGAUAACUUCAGGAAACUGGGGCUAAUACCGGAUAGGAGCUCCUGCUGCAUGGUGGGGGUUGGAAAGUUUCGGCGGUUGGGGAUGGACUCGCGGCUUAUCAGCUUGUUGGUGGGGUAGUGGCUUACCAAGGCUUUGACGGGUAGCCGGCCUGAGAGGGUGACCGGCCACAUUGGGACUGAGAUACGGCCCAGACUCCUACGGGAGGCAGCAGUGGGGAAUAUUGCACAAUGGGCGGAAGCCGGAUGCAGCAACGCCGCGUGCGGGAUGACGGCCUUCGGGUUGUAAACCGCUUUCGCCUGUGACGAAGCGUGAGUGACGGUAAUGGGUAAAGAAGCACCGGCUAACUACGUG
rnacentral:rRNA from 1 species